ACCCAGCGAUCAAGCGCGUCUCGGAUUACUGGGCGUAAAGCGUGCGUAGGUGGUCGUUUAAGUCCGUUGUGAAAGCCCUGGGCUCAACCUGGGAACUGCAGUGGAUACUGGGCGACUAGAAUGUGGUAGAGGGUAGCGGAAUUCCUGGUGUAGCAGUGAAAUGCGUAGAGAUCAGGAGGAACAUCCAUGGCGAAGGCAGCUACCUGGACCAACAUUGACACUGAGGCACGAAAGCGUGGGGAGCAAACAGGAUUAGAUACCCCGGUAGUCCA
rnacentral:rRNA from 1 species